AUCACUCUCCUAAGCAAUGCUGUUGCGCAGUUCAAGAAAUACAAGUGUCUAAGAAUGAGGAGCCACCUGAUGGUCCAGAUGGGGGAAGAAUACUACCAUGCCAAGGAAUAUGCCAAAGCCUUGAAGUAAUUGGACUAUGUGAUGAGUG